UAAUACCUCAUGGUCUCCGAGCUUGACAUCAAUCUUGGAGUAAAGAUUCAUUGCCGUGGGAUGGGGAUGCGUCUGAUUAGCUUGUUGGCGGGGCAACGGCCCACCAAGGCAACGAUCAGUAGGGGUUCUGAGAGGAAAGCCCCCCACAUUGGAACUGAGACACGGUCCAAACUCCUACGGGAGGCAGCAGUGAGGAAUAUUGGUCAAUGGGCGAGAGCCUGAACCAGCCAAGUAGCGUGCAGGAAGACGGCCCUAUGGGUUGUAAACUGCUUUUAUGCGGGGAUAAAGCGGGCGACGUGUCGCCCUUUGCAGGUACCGCAUGAAUAAGGACCGGCUAAUUCCGUGCCAGCAGCCGCGGUAAUACGGAAGGUCCGGGCGUUAUCCGGAUUUAUUGGGUUUAAAGGGAGCGCAGGCCGGGUAUUAAGCGUGUUGUGAAAUGUAGGCGCCCAACGUCUGCACCGCAGCGCGAACUGGUGCCCUUGAGUACGCACGACGUUGGCGGAAUUCGCCGUGUAGCGGUGAAAUGCUUAGAUAUGGCGAAGAACUCCGAUUGCGAAGGCAGCUGACGGGAGCGCUACUGACGCUCAUGCUCGAAAGCGCGGGUAUCGAACAGGAUUAGAUACCCUGGUAGUCCGCACGGUAAACGAUGGAUGCCCGCUAUUUGCGCAUUAGCGCAAGUGGCCAAGUGAAAACGUUAAGCAUCCCACCUGGGGAGUACGCCGGCAACGGUGCAACUCAAAUGAAUUGACGG
rnacentral:rRNA from 1 species